GUACUCGCUUCAGCAGCACAUACACUAAAAUUGGAAUGAUACAGAGAAGAUUAGCAUGCCCCUAUGCAAGAAUGACACACAAAUUUGUGAAGUGUUCCCUAUUUUU
ensembl:snRNA U6 U6 spliceosomal RNA